AGGCUUUUUUCCGAGAUGGCUGCCAGCAAAGUCGUAGUAAACACGAAUUCCUGCAAGUUUGCGUUGAAAUUAUCGACUUACAAUGUUCUAGAGCGACAAAAGCGAAAAAAAUAUUGAAGCAGAAUCAACAAUUAUGGAAGAAAAAUCCAUUUGAGAACGGAGGCAACAAAUACGUUGUGAUAGACGAAUGGACGCUGAACACAGAUUACGGCAGGCGUUCCCCGAAGUACUAAACGAGUCUUGCGUAAAUACGGACAGUGGGAUGAACAUCAAAGACAAAAACCGAUGCAAAUAAAUACAAAAUUUUGCA